AGUGUUGCCAUUACACAAAAAUAAUUUACAUUUAGUGCUUCAAAAAAGUAAAGUUUUUAGUGCAGGCAACACUACUUGCAAAGAAAAAAAGAACGGUGAAACAUUUGAGCUUGUUACAAAAUUUUGUUUAAUUUAAAGAAAUAAAAACCAUCUGAAACCUUUGUAUAAUGAGUGCAUCAGAAUUAGAAGAAAAGGUCAAAGCUAAGCGCUUCCGGGCAGCACCAAAACAUUGUUGGAGCAGUGAGCAAACUAUGUAGAAGCCUUUUAGAGGAAGUGCGCGGAGAAAUAAAAGACCGCCCGGAGUCAUUUGAGAAGCCUAUUGCACAAAAAUUUUAUUCGAAAAUAUCUGCUAAGUGCCCUUUGCUCGCAAACAUUAAUUGGAAAGUGAUGAAGAGCAAAAUGCGCUAUUUAAAAGGAAUAUAUAUGGAGGCCGUGAAAUGGCGUAGUCAAACAGGAGCUGGAUUAAUUGAAAAUGGAGAAGUAGAAAGCG